GUUUGGCCCCAGCAUACCUUUGCUGGGUCGCUGGAACUGAGCGUCCAAAUUUCGCCCCCUCCAGAGCCUGCUUGGGCCCUCAGUUUAGUUGCAGCCCAGAAUAAAAAUUUAACUGGCCAGGGCAGUACGUCCCUAAAAGUUUAUACUAGGAGGACAGCUGAUAACAGGAGGCAAAAGUAUGAUUCUCAGGAUUCCCCACUCAUUCAAACCCUUCAGCCAAAUCAAGCCUCUUCUCCUCAAGAACAGAAUGGUAUUGGAAAUGCAGUCCAAGCUUUUGUUGACAAAGUAACCAGGAAGGUGGAUGGUCUGCUCCCUCCACCACUCCCCCACAGAAGACGAUCCAAGCAACUUCCAUCUGACUUCAUCCCACGCAGAAGCAGUCGCCUGGCAAAGCGAGAUAAUAAAACAAAUGCUGCACGCAGACAGAUUCAAGCUGACCUGAUAAGAAGCCUGGAUGUGCCUUGCGAUGGAGAGUUGUUAAGUCCUAAAGCCCUUGAAGCUUAUGGCAACUUGUUCAAAAACUCACUCUCUGAAGCUCAUAUCAAAGCACUGUCAGCCCUCUUUGGAUGGACAGUCCCAGAUGUUUUUGAACCUGUUAAUGUGUUGUGUAUCGCCGGGCAAGGCCCAGAAGA
rnacentral:misc_RNA from 1 species